GUACUGGAACCGCUGGAGAGGGGAGGGGACGCUUGGUGAGGAGUGCCCCCUCUGGUGUGCUGGGGCCUUCCCACAGCCUGCUGCCUCCCAGUGGUUCCAAAGGGUCCCCCACGGUGACCCAUGAGCCAGGGACUGACCCACAGCUCCCCGGUCACACGCUGGUUAAGUCAGAGCCUGGCUCAGAGUCAGCAACAAGGGGCUGAUUUGGGGGGAAAUGUUCAAGCCCUGGAUUUCUGGGCCACUCUGAGUUGUGAGGUUGUAGAGCCAGGCCGGGGAGGGGCCGGUAGUCGAGGGUGCUGCUGGUACUGAUGAUUCUGUAAGGUCGGCUUGAAAAAAGGAGCAGCCUUUCAACCCGGAGCCUCCCUGGGAGACAGGAAGGCACUGUGGGCCGGCCACAGGCUCGCCUUUGGUCGUGGUGCCGAGAUGUCUACAGAGGCCCAGGGUCAGGUGUUUACAGCGGAUGAUGGUCCAAGUGCCAGGUGCUCCGAGGGACAAAGCCCAGGUCCCAGCCCCCACCGAUGAGACUGGUCAUCUGCACACCCUAGAAAUCAUGCGAUGGCCUCUGGCCCAGUUGGACCUGGGCUGGGGGAUAUACGUGGACAAUAACACUGGGGCGCUCUGCCAAUAAAAUGUGUUUCCUGUGCUGAGUUAAAUGUGAGCUCCAGGGGCUGACCACUGUGGGAAGUGAGGCCUGGUAGCUUCUGCCAGUCACCCAUUAGACCUGGGCCCAGACCAGAGGUCCUAGUGCAAGGGGUGGGUGAGGGCCCUCCUGGACCUCUCCCUGGCUGAGCCCCGUGUACCUACCUCCUUUAGUAUUGAUCUCAGAUGUCUUCCAUAGAAAGCAAGACAUUCUUGUCAGUGUCCUCUCUCCUCACGUUAUAAUAUCCUUGGAUUGCUCUGGGAAGUAAAAAAUCAGGGUUCACCUUGUGGUGCCUCCCACCUGUCCCCGGCUUCCAGGCUGAGAGGAGACAGGCCCGGGCUUGCCUCCGAUUUUCCCACAGUUCAGGGCUCAUUGUGGCCAAGGUGCUGCAGGUUUACUUCAGUGGGGUCGUGGGACUUGCCUGUGGCCACCACCUCUGCACAGCACAGCCGGGACAGAACAGACUCGAGUCCGUGUUUUCUCUACAUCUUUACUGAGAUCAUUUCACCCGUUUCACGUGUAUACUUAAAGCUCUGCACGUGUGACUACAAUUUGAGGACGCUGUCGUCGUCUCAAAAAAAUCCCCAGACCUGAACCCCUAGUUCUCAUGCAGCUUCUGGUCUCCCACAAACACUGAUUGACCCUCUAGAGACUUCGCUCUCUGCACUUGCACGUGAAUCAAACCACAGACGGACUCCCGACUGGCUGCUUUCCCUUUCCAUCACGUUCUCAAAGUUCAUCCGUGUAGCAUGUGCCAGUUUGUUCCUCUUACGGCUAAACGUAGCCGCCGUGGGGACACACCGUAUUCUGCUUGUCUGUCUGCUGACAGACGUCCGGGUGCUCUCCACCUCUGGGCUGUUGCGGCUAUCACUGCUUCGGACGGUCGUGUCCAAGCUGCUGCAGGGACCUAGGUCGCGCCGGUAUAUACCCCGGAGAGUGACGGCUGGGUCCUAUGCUAAGUCCCAGCUUGCCAAGCUGCCCGUUAGCUGACACAGAGCCUAGCCAUCCUGGGGGUGUGGUGUGUCUCACUGUGGUGUGCAUUUGCAGCUUGAGUCCGUGUUUCCUAAGCUCCUGUGCUCGGCACCAGAGGCACAUGUGUCCCCAGAGGUCACAGUCCCGGCCUGGGGCCCGCCACACUGCAGGCGGGCCGCCGAGGACAGUGGCAGCUGGGCCACACGACAGAAAGUUUUCUGGGCUGUGGGAUUGCUGCUGGCGGGGCGCCGGCAGGCGGGGAGCAGUAAAGGGCUGGGGGUGGAAGGGGUCUGGGGUGGCUGGAGGAUUUGGUAGGGCAAGCGCCCGACUGUAAGGUCAGCCAGUCUCGGCCUCGCCGGGUGUGCCCUCCACAGACACCUGUUGAAGGGGGCGCACAGUCUGCUCUGUGCCCUGCUGCCCAAGCCCUCCCCUGGCUCCGCCUUCCACCCCCCAGUGGCCGGGGCGGCCUGGCCUCAUCCAGGAGAAUGGGGAGCCUCACACGAGGUUGCGUCUCUUCUUGGGCGCGAGGCUCACACUUGAUGAGCAGGACGGGGGCCUGCAGCUGCUUGGCGGAGUGCGUGAACAGCUCCUUGCUGACGAAGCUGAUGCUCUGCUCUGGCUGCGGAGAGGAAACCACAGCUGCCCUGCAGCGCCGUCCAGCCAGCCUCGGCUCUGGACCCUGCCCAGCAGCGCCCACCUACCUGCACCAUUUCCACGAGAAAGGAACCUGCUUAAGCCACUGGGCAGAACGCGUACACCUCGGUGCCCCCACAGCCCCGCCGGCCUCCAUCAGAGCCCAAAACACCCUGUCUUAGGACUAUGUGAGAGUCUAGGUGCGUGCUGUCCCACAUGGUAGCCGUCGCUGCGUGUGGCCACUGAGUGCUUGAAAUGGGGGCUGCUCUGAGAUGCGCAGGUGUGAACUGCACAGUGGGUUUCGAAGACUUGCUAUAAAUAAUGCCAGAUACCUCACAUUUUUAUACUGGUUACAUCUCAGAUACAUUGAGUUAAAAAUAAUAUUAAAUGCGAUUUCUUCC